AUUGAACGCUGGCGGCAGGCCUAACACAUGCAAGUCGAAUGGUAACAGGAAACAGCUUGCUGUUUCGCUGACGAGUGGCGGACGGGUGAGUAAUGUCUGGGAAACUGCCUGAUGGAGGGGGAUAACUACUGGAAACGGUAGCUAAUACCGCAUAACGUCGCAAGACCAAAGAGGGGGACCUUCGGGCCUCUUGCCAUCAGAUGUGCCCAGAUGGGAUUAGCUAGUAGGUGGGGUAACGGCUCACCUAGGCGACGAUCCCUAGCUGGUCUGAGAGGAUGACCAGCCACACUGGAACUGAGACACGGUCCAGACUCCUACGGGAGGCAGCAGUGGGGAAUAUUGCACAAUGGGCGCAAGCCUGAUGCAGCCAUGCCGCGUGUAUGAAGAAGGCCUUCGGGUUGUAAAGUACUUUCAGCGGGGAGGAAGGGAGUAAAGUUAAUACCUUCGCUCAUUGACGUUACCCGAAGAAGAAGCACCGGCUAACUACGUG
rnacentral:rRNA from 1 species